rnacentral:rRNA from 1 species
AUCACUAAGCGGAGGAAAAGAAA